rnacentral:rRNA from 1 species
CGGGACGGGUGAGUAAUGUCUGGGAAACUGCCUGAUGGAGGGGGAUAACUACUGGAAACGGUAGCUAAUACCGCAUAACGUCGCAAGACCAAGAGGGGACCUUCGGGCCUCUUGCCAUCGGAUGUGCCCAGAUGGGAUUAGCUAGUAGGUGGGGUAAAGGCUCACCUAGGCGACGAUCCCUAGCUGGUCUGAGAGGAUGACCAGCCACACUGGAACUGAGACACGGUCCAG